AUGAAUAUUGUUGGCUUAAAUUUAUUUUCAAAUUGAGUUCACUUUAUGAUAAUAAAAAAUAUAUCGUUGUUACGUUUUGGGAAUUACCCCAAACUAAUUAAAAAUAAAAAUAAUUUUUAAUUAUUAAAUUUUAUUCAGGUUUGGCCUUAUUGGAGUAUCGACAGACCCCCGGUGGGCCUUGGUCGUCGAUUAUUUGAUAAAUUAUUAUUUCAUUUAAUUUUCGCAAUUUAAUUUAUUUUCGAUGCCGUUUCCAACUCGAAAUAAUUUAUGAUAGGUGAAUGGAUAGGUCAUAGUGUAGGUGAAACUAUUGGGGUGCCGAUUGGCACCCCAAAAUAAGGUUGAAUUAAUUUAGAAUUAAUUAUGUUUAUUCACUGUAUAGAGAGCAGAGGAUCGAGCUCUAUGAGCUCUCUCGAAGGACUGACUAUUUUGUCGUUAUAAAAAUAUAAUAAAGCAAAAGAGUUGACAAAUUGUUGACGCCGCAUCUCAGGUUCCCUGUGAGAGAAUCGUCGUGGCCCGAGUCUCAUGCAUCGUCAUCUGUUUUGACUGCCCGCGAGCUACGGCGACUCUCUUAUCGUAACCGAUUUCCGUUAUAUUGCAAAAAAAAUUAAUUUAAUAAAAAUAAUUAAUUUAUUUAAUCAAUCAAAUAUUACGGGAACGUAACAUCGUACUGAAGAAAAUGCUACAUUGACAGAUAGAACAGACUAGAGGAUCACUCUACAAUCCAUCGAUAACCAAUGUUAAGCAGCAUCGGCGUGGGACAUUAAUUGGACGGGUGACCUCGUAGUAAAAUAGCAGUCAACGGAUAUUCUAAAUGAGAUUCUAAAAAUGACUAUAUUCGUUCAUGCAUGAUUAUAUAUAAUCAUAUAUGAUCAUGUAUAAACAUAUCUAAUUAUAUAAAAUCAGACCUGGCCGAUUUUUGGAUCUAAUCAUUUAUAGAUGA